AUAUUUCGUUUGAUCUGUGAUCGGAUCUCUCUCACCCUCUCUGUUUCUCGACACUCCUCCCAACUUCACCUUUCAAUUUCGACCUUGGCAUCCGUCCAAAUCGGAGGGAAAUGUCCCCGCGUGUGUAUCUGAGUGGGCGGAGCC
ensembl:ncRNA C01G6.13 ncRNA